rnacentral:tRNA from 1 species
GUACAAAAAGUAAAACAUUUACAUUCGGUUUCGACCCGUUUCUUUGGGGGUAUAAGUCCCUCUUUGUACU